GGUCAAGUGAAGAAGCGCAUACGGUGGAUGCCUUGGCAGUCAGAGGCGAUGAAAGACGUGGUAGCCUGCGAAAAGCUUCGGGGAGUCGGCAAACAGACUUUGAUCCGGAGAUGUCUGAAUGGGGGAACCCAGCCAUCAUAAGAUGGUUACCUUACACUGAAUACAUAGGUGUAUGGAGCGAACCAGGGGAACUGAAACAUCUAAGUACCCUGAGGAAAAGAAAUCAACCGAGAUUCCCUUAGUAGUGGCGAGCGAACGGGGACUAGCCCUUAAGUGGCUUUGAGAUUAGCGGAACGCUCUGGAAAGUGCGGCCAUAGUGGGUGAUAGCCCUGUACGCGAAAAUCUCUUAGUCAUGAAAUCGAGUAGGACGGAGCACGAGAAACUUUGUCUGAAUAUGGGGGGACCAUCCUCCAAGGCUAAAUACUACUGACUGACCGAUAGUGAACUAGUACCGUGAGGGAAAGGCGAAAAGAACCCCGGAGAGGGGAGUGAAAUAGAUCCUGAAACCGUAUGCGUACAAGCAGUGGGAGCCCACUUUGUUGGGUGACUGCGUACCUUUUGUAUAAUGGGUCAGCGACUUAUUUUCAGUGGCGAGCUUAACCGAAUAGGGGAGGCGUAGCGAAAGCGAGUCUUAAUAGGGCGUCUAGUCGCUGGGAAUAGACCCGAAACCGGGCGAUCUAUCCAUGGGCAGGUUGAAGGUUGGGUAACACUAACUGGAGGACCGAACCGACUACCGUUGAAAAGUUAGCGGAUGACCUGUGGAUCGGAGUGAAAGGCUAAUCAAGCUCGGAGAUAGCUGGUUCUCCUCGAAAGCUAUUUAGGUAGCGCCUCAUGUAUCACUGUAGGGGGUAGAGCACUGUUUCGGCUAGGGGGUCAUCCCGACUUACCAAACCGAUGCAAACUCCGAAUACCUACAAGUGCCGAGCAUGGGAGACACACGGCGGGUGCUAACGUCCGUCGUGAAAAGGGAAACAACCCAGACCGUCAGCUAAGGUCCCAAAGUUAUGGUUAAGUGGGAAACGAUGUGGGAAGGCUUAGACAGCUAGGAGGUUGGCUUAGAAGCAGCCACCCUUUAAAGAAAGCGUAAUAGCUCACUAGUCGAGUCGGCCUGCGCGGAAGAUGUAACGGGGCUCAAACCAUACACCGAAGCUACGGGUAUCACGUAAGUGAUGCGGUAGAGGAGCGUUCUGUAAGCCUGUGAAGGUGAGUUGAGAAGCUUGCUGGAGGUAUCAGAAGUGCGAAUGCUGACAUGAGUAACGACAAUGGGUGUGAAAAACACCCACGCCGAAAGACCAAGGUUUCCUGCGCAACGUUAAUCGACGCAGGGUUAGUCGGUCCCUAAGGCGAGGCUGAAAAGCGUAGUCGAUGGAAAACAGGUUAAUAUUCCUGUACUUCUGGUUAUUGCGAUGGAGGGACGGAGAAGGCUAGGCCAGCUUGGCGUUGGUUGUCCAAGUUUAAGGUGGUAGGCUGAGAUCUUAGGUAAAUCCGGGAUCUUAAGGCCGAGAGCUGAUGACGAGUCGUCUUUUAGACGACGAAGUGGUUGAUGCCAUGCUUCCAAGAAAAGCUUCUAAGCUUCAGGUAACCAGGAACCGUACCCCAAACCGACACAGGUGGUUGGGUAGAGAAUACCAAGGCGCUUGAGAGAACUCGGGUGAAGGAACUAGGCAAAAUGGCACCGUAACUUCGGGAGAAGGUGCGCCGGUGAGGGUGAAGGACUUGCUCCGUAAGCUCAUGCCGGUCGAAGAUACCAGGCCGCUGCGACUGUUUAUUAAAAACACAGCACUCUGCAAACACGAAAGUGGACGUAUAGGGUGUGACGCCUGCCCGGUGCCGGAAGGUUAAUUGAUGGGGUUAGCUAACGCGAAGCUCUUGAUCGAAGCCCCGGUAAACGGCGGCCGUAACUAUAACGGUCCUAAGGUAGCGAAAUUCCUUGUCGGGUAAGUUCCGACCUGCACGAAUGGCGUAACGAUGGCGGCGCUGUCUCCACCCGAGACUCAGUGAAAUUGAAAUCGCUGUGAAGAUGCAGUGUAUCCGCGGCUAGACGGAAAGACCCCGUGAACCUUUACUAUAGCUUUGCACUGGACUUUGAAUUUGCUUGUGUAGGAUAGGUGGGAGGCUUUGAAGCGUGGACGCCAGUUCGCGUGGAGCCAACCUUGAAAUACCACCCUGGCAACUUUGAGGUUCUAACUCAGGUCCGUUAUCCGGAUCGAGGACAGUGUAUGGUGGGUAGUUUGACUGGGGCGGUCUCCUCCUAAAGAGUAACGGAGGAGUACGAAGGUGCGCUCAGACCGGUCGGAAAUCGGUCGUAGAGUAUAAAGGCAAAAGCGCGCUUGACUGCGAGACAGACACGUCGAGCAGGUACGAAAGUAGGUCUUAGUGAUCCGGUGGUUCUGUAUGGAAGGGCCAUCGCUCAACGGAUAAAAGGUACUCCGGGGAUAACAGGCUGAUACCGCCCAAGAGUUCAUAUCGACGGCGGUGUUUGGCACCUCGAUGUCGGCUCAUCACAUCCUGGGGCUGAAGCCGGUCCCAAGGGUAUGGCUGUUCGCCAUUUAAAGUGGUACGCGAGCUGGGUUUAGAACGUCGUGAGACAGUUCGGUCCCUAUCUGCCGUGGACGUUUGAGAUUUGAGAGGGGCUGCUCCUAGUACGAGAGGACCGGAGUGGACGAACCUCUGGUGUUCCGGUUGUCACGCCAGUGGCAUUGCCGGGUAGCUAUGUUCGGAAUAGAUAACCGCUGAAAGCAUCUAAGCGGGAAACUAGCCUCAAGAUGAGAUCUCACUGGAACCUUGAGUUCCCUGAAGGGCCGUCGAAGACUACGACGUUGAUAGGUUGGGUGUGUAAGCGCUGUGAGGCGUUGAGCUAACCAAUACUAAUUGCCCGUGAGGCUUGACCAU
rnacentral:rRNA from 1 species